rnacentral:rRNA from 1 species
AUAUACGACCGUACCGCAAACCGACACUGGUGCGCGAGAUGAGUAUUCUAAGGCGCUUGAGAGAACUCAGGAGAAGGAACUCGGCAAAUUGACACCGUAACUUCGGAAGAAGGUGUGCCCUAUUAGUGUGUAGUGAACAACGAAGCAUGAAUGGGUUGCAAAAAAUCGGUGGCUGCGACUGUUUAUUAAAAACACAGCACUCUGCAAACACGAAAGUGGACGUAUAGGGUGUGACGCCUGCCCGGUGCUGGAAGAUUAAAUGAUGGGGUGCAAGCUCUUGAUUGAAGUCCCAGUAAACGGCGGCCGUAACAAUAACGGUCCUAAGGUAGCGAAAUUCCUUGUCGGGUAAGUUCCGACCUGCACGAAUGGCGUAACGAUGGCCACGCUGUCUCCUCCUGAGACUCAGCGAAGUUGAAAUGUUUGUGAUGAUGCAAUCUCCCCGCGGAAAGACGGAAAGACCCCAUGAACCUUUACUGUAGCUUUGUAUUGGACUUUGAACAGAUCUGUGUAGGAUAGGUGGUAGGCUUUGAAGCAGGGUCGCUAGAUCUUGUGGAGCCAACGUUGAAAUACCACCCUGGUGUGUUUGAGGUUCUAACCUAGGUCCAUUAUCUGGAUCGGGGACAGUGCAUGGUAGGCAGUUUGACUGGGGCGGUCUCCUCCCAAAGCGUAACGGAGGAGUUCGAAGGUACGCUAGUUACGGUCGGACAUCGUGACGAUAGUGCAAUGGCAUAAGCGUGCUUAACUGCGAGACUGACAAGUCGAGCAGAUGCGAAAGCAGGACAUAGUGAUCCGGUGGUUCUGUAUGGAAGGGCCAUCGCUCAACGGAUAAAAGGUACUCUGGGGAUAACAGGCUGAUACCGCCCAAGAGUUCAUAUCGACGGCGGUGUUUGGCACCUCGAUGUCGGCUCAUCUCAUCCUGGGGCUGUAGCCGGUCCCAAGGGUAUGGCUGUUCGCCAUUUAAAGAGGUACGUGAGCUGGGUUUAAAACGUCGUGAGACAGUUUGGUCCCUAUCUUCCGUGGGCGCUGCAGAUUUGAGGAAGCCUGCUCCUAGUACGAGAGGACCGGAGUGGACACACCUCUGGUGUAUCGGUUGUCACGCCAGUGGCAUUGCCGAGUAGCUAAGUGUGGAAGAGAUAACCGCUGAAAGCAUCUAAGCGGGAAACUCGUUUCAAGAUGAGAUCUGCCGGGGCCUUGAGCCCCCUAAAGAGUCGUUCAAGACCAGGACGUUGAUAGGUCAGGUGUGGAAGCCAAAAAAAA